GGAGUAUGGAGCUGAGGUCGAGUCGGGCUAGCUGGAGCAGAUACUGCAAAGAAAGGGUAAUUCAAGGAGGAUAAGGAUUCUUUAGCAGUGACUUCCCAAUUGGGGAAUGGCUGCGGAGUCCUCGAGGCUGGGGAUGAAAGGGGAGGGGUUACAGGAGCACUGUUUGAGAUUCUAAGAGGAGGAAGCGAUAUGGGAAUCGCUUGGCGAAGAUAAGGAAUGAGGUUCGACGGAUUGUUGGCGUCGAGACGGGACGGGCUCGGGAAGGAGGAGGAGGAGGGACUGACUUGGUAGGAUCCCAUAGGACUGGGGAAUGAAGAAGACAAUGGGCUUGGAUUUUGGGAAGAGUAAGGGGUGAUUUUGGUUGAAGUGCCAACAAUAUCAAUUGGGGGCGGCUUGCAUCCCUUCCGAUAAGUGGUUCCGUCAUCUUCGACGGUCCAACCAGCUUCAGCACAGAGGGCUUUAAGGACCUCGUUGUUGUCACAGUGUUUAGGCAAAUUGAAGUUUCCCUGAGCCCUAAGGCCAGAGUAAAUCUUAGCGGCGAUGGCUCUCCUCCG
rnacentral:misc_RNA from 1 species